UUCUGGUUCGAGUCCAGGAUGGCCCACUAAAAGCCGAAAGCCUUUUCGUUUUCAGGAGCAACCCAUAAGGAAAACAAUUCUGGUUCGAGUCCAGGAUGGCCCACCUAAAAAGAGUGUGGGGGUAUAGCUCAGUUGGUAGAGCGCUGCCUUUGCAAGGCAGAUGUCAGCGGUUCGAGUCCGCUUACCUCCACUAAAACCGGAAACAAACCAGCACUACAUCUUGGAAAAAUAAAGAGUAAAUGCUGGGAGUGUAACCAGCCAGAACCUUGAAAACUGCAAACG
rnacentral:tRNA from 1 species